UUAAUUAAGAGAAUGAGAUUCGAAUAGAAUCAAACUCACCAUUAAUAAUUUGAGUCCUUCUUAGUAAGAGACUUAAUGAACAAAACUAAAUUGAGUAAAGUGAAGAAGCAGAUUGCUACCCUUUUCUUCACGUUUAUAUUCCUCUUGACCGAUGAUUUAUCCACUCUAUACUUGGAUCGAAUGAAGAAGUAAAAUCGUGUUUUCCUUACUGGUUCAAUUGUCUCAUCUUGAUCUCCAAGAUCGGCGGCAAUUUUCUGGUGGGACUCAUCCUCCAUAACUGACCUCUCCACUUCUUGAAGGGUGGUAAGGAGACCAGAUGAUCGUCUCGUUGUUCUCCAAAUGCUCUAGUAGCUGGGUUCUUGUCUUGUCUCGAGAUUUCGGGUUUAAUCGAUGAAGGAUGAAGACUGAUGCUCGAAGUAAUUAGUCAUUUCUCUUCUUUUCUUAUUCCCCAAAUUACUAGAUCUUACAAUGUCUCCACUGUUUAAGGAAAAGAAUUUCGUAACAUAGUAAUCAACUAGCAUCAAAUCUGUUCCCUAUUAUUAACCUUCGAUAGAAUGAAACUCGGAGAGGCUAAUACCACACAUCAAAAGAUAAAUUCUAGGUUCUAGAUUAUCUGCUAAUUUACUACUAGAUUACUUCUUAUACUUACAUGAUGACAAGUCACUAUAUGGCUUUGAAUCUGCUUCUAACUUAUCCCUUGACAGAAUGAACCUCAAAGAGGUUAAUACCACACAUCAAAAGGAUUUAUCGGAAACAAAAUCAAUGACCAUCUAGCAACUUGUUACCCCUAAAUUUGAUACUACAAGAUAAUCACAGAGUUGCAAG